rnacentral:lncRNA from 1 species
AUUACAAAAUUUUGGAUUUGCCUCGUUCGAGUUUGAUGCAAUUUUUUUCCCAAUUCUAAUUAUUAAUGUAGAUCAUAGAUUUGUGUAAAGUUUCCCAUCCCUAUGCUUGCCAUAUGAUAUACAUAGAAACACCAAAUGAUGAUUGUUUGGAUGUAACAAGUGUAAUCAAUUUUCGAUCAAGUCUCCAAACACCGUUGGAUUGGAGCUGCUAGUUAGAUCAAAUCGUAAUCUGAGAACUAAGACAGGGCCCAUUUCAGAGGCUAUCAAAUCUAGCCCACGAAAUACCUGAUAUUUUUGUUUUGGGGUCUUCUAGAUGCUUGUAAGCUGGAGAGAAUCAGUGGGAGUGGAGAACAAUUCGAGAAGCUCCAGAUAUUUCGUUUCGUUCCUAUAAAUAGAUUCCUCGAUACUCUCUGUUCUUUCAAGAGUGAGAAUCAAAUUCAAGAAAAACCAACAACCUUUGAAGAAAACAAAAUUCAACUGAAAAUGUCGAUGAUUCCGAGCUUCUUUGGAAACAACAGGCGUGGCAGCAGCAGCUUCUUCGAUCCGUUUUCUCUAGAUGUUUGGGACCCGUUCAAGGACUUUUCAUCAUCUUCUUCGUUUUCCCGAGAAAACUCUGCGAUCGUGAACGCGCGCGUGGACUGGAGGGAGACGCCGGAGGCGCACGUGUUCAAGGCGGACUUACCUGGACUGAAGAAGGAGGAAGUGAAGGUCGAGGUUGAGGACAACAACGUGUUGAAGAUCAGUGGUCAGAGGCACGUGGAGAAGGAGGACAAGAGCGACACGUGGCACCGCGUGGAGAGGUCGAGGGGACAGUUCACGAGGAAGUUUAGGCUGCCGGAGAACGUGAAGAUGGACCAGGUGAAGGCUGCGUUGGAGAACGGAGUCCUGACUGUGACGGUGCCUAAGGUAGAGACGGAGAAGGCUAGUGUCAGAUCUGUUCAGAUAUCUGGCUGAUUCAAGCAUUCUCUGACCAUGGUUCGAGUUUUUGUGUGUGUUGUGUGUUUCCUCUUCUGGUUUAACUGAGUGUGUCAUGUCCUGUCUGAGAGAUGAUGUAUCUAUACUAAAAUAUUGAAUAAAUAUUAUCUUAAAGCCUCCCAUAAGUUCGUAUUGAAAUUGUUUAAUUAAUUCUUCAGUUUACUAAUGUCUUUUUUGUUUUAAAUCGCACGGUAAUGAUUUAUGAAUUUCAUCACAAAACAAACACACGAGUUAUCCAUUUCUAGGUGUUUCCAUAAGUUCACUGGACAAUCUCAGUAAAAUUCCAAUUUGGCUGUAAUUGAGUAUUGCUGGUUCAUGUGUAUGAUGAAUGUGCCAGAUGAUGGAUUUGGCUGUAAUUGAGUUUUGCAAGCUUGGCCCAGUUUACAUAUUAUAGUUGUUUUGCUGUUGUUUGAGGAUAGCACAAGGGAGGAGAGAAAAUGAGAUUUGGAGGUGACUCAUCAAUGAGAGGCGGAGAGUUGCUGUGGAAGAGAUAACCAUGGUGAUUUUAUCUUAACUUUUUUGUAAAAAAAAGAAGUGAAAAGGCUUGAAUGAAAAUGUAUAAUUUCAUAUGUACUCAAUGAAGUUCUGGAAAAAAUAAAUGUUACUUUUUUCCAGAAAAAGAAAGAAAAUGAAUUAGAUCGUUAACAACUUGGAAUCAUAUCUAUUCUCAUACUAUAAUAGAUCGCGGAGAAUAUUAUUUUAUUGUAUCUAUCUUAUUAAACCAGAAGAACUUUAAAUUUUUGUUUGGCAAUAUAGAUAACAGUUAAAAAAAUAUAGCAUUGUUUGAAAACAUGAAUAUCAAUAUAUUAAAAAAAAAAUAAUAGAUUUAUGUUAUCAAGAAAAAUUGAAAAUUCAUUAUAUUAUGAAAACUAUAUAUAUGGGCUAGCUUUAAAAUAUACAAAAAUAACUGGUCCAAUCCAAUUACCUAAAAACAUCUUUGUCUAAGAUAAUCAUAAAACAAAAUUUAAAUUUUAUAUACAUAUUUCAAAUCAAAAUAUUAAUUUAAAAUUUAUUUAUACCAAAAAUUGAUUCAAAAUAUACAUAUAUUCAAAAAUUGAUUUUACUAAAAUAUUUUUAUAACCAUUAUAAAAAUGUUUUAAAUAUAUUUAAGAAAAAUACAAUACAAAGGAAUUACAAACACCAACGUAAAUUAUGAUUUUUAUAUUUUAUAUUAAGUUUUAAAAAUAUAAUAUAUAUGAGUAUUUAUAUGAUGGUGCGUAUAAAUACUAUUAAUUAUAUGAUUACUUAUAUGAUGGUAGGUAAAAAGCACGAUUAAUUAUAUGAUGACACAUAUAUGAUAUUUAAUAGUGGCAUGAAAAAAUAAAUAACAACAUAUUUUUGCAAUAUUAUAUCUUCUAUCUUGUUAAAAUAGAAGUACAUUUGGGAAUGUUUGGAAACAAGAAUAACAUAAUUAAAAAGAAAUAUAAUGUUGUUUGAAAAUAUAGAUAGCAGUAUAUUAAAAAAAAGCUUAUGUUAUUAAAAAAAUUGAAGUCCAUUAUAUUUUUAUAAAUUAUCUCUUUGGACAAGAUUUAAAAUUGAAAAAUUGAAAAUUCAUUAUAUUAUGAAAACUAUAUAUAUGGGCUAGCUUUAAAAUAUACAAAAAUAACUGGUCCAAUCCAAUUACCUAAAAACAUCUUUGUCUAAGAUAAUCAUAAAACAAAAUUUAAAUUUUAUAUACAUAUUUCAAAUCAAAAUAUUAAUUUAAAAUUUAUUUAUACCAAAAAUUGAUUCAAAAUAUACAUAUAUUCAAAAAUUGAUUUUACUAAAAUAUUUUUAUAACCAUUAUAAAAAUGUUUUAAAUAUAUUUAAGAAAAAUACAAUACAAAGGAAUUACAAACACCAACGUAAAUUAUGAUUUUUAUAUUUUAUAUUAAGUUUUAAAAAUAUAAUAUAUAUGAGUAUUUAUAUGAUGGUGCGUAUAAAUACUAUUAAUUAUAUGAUUACUUAUAUGAUGGUAGGUAAAAAGCACGAUUAAUUAUAUGAUGACACAUAUAUGAUAUUUAAUAGUGGCAUGAAAAAAUAAAUAACAACAUAUUUUUGCAAUAUUAUAUCUUCUAUCUUGUUAAAAUAGAAGUACAUUUGGGAAUGUUUGGAAACAAGAAUAACAUAAUUAAAAAGAAAUAUAAUGUUGUUUGAAAAUAUAGAUAGCAGUAUAUUAAAAAAAAGCUUAUGUUAUUAAAAAAAUUGAAGUCCAUUAUAUUUUUAUAAAUUAUCUCUUUGGACAAGAUUUAAAAUUUACGAAAAUGACUCAAUCUAAUUACUUUUUUGUGCAACUGGUCCAAUCUAAUUAACUAAAAACAUAUUUUGUAUAAAUUAAUCAUUAAACAAAAUUCAAAACAAAAAUUGAUUCAAAAAUAUACAUGUAUUCAAAAAUUGAUUUUUACUAAUGUAUUUUUCAAUAACCAUUAUAAAAUUGUUUUCAAUAUAUAUAAAAAAUACAAUACAAAUGAACUAAUAGAUUGAGUAAACUUUCUUUCUAAUUUUUUUAUGGACCACCGAAAUAAAAUUAGAUAUACAAUACUAGAAAUAGCUAUAAUAUUUGGGUUAGAAUAUCAAAUAAACAAUAAAACAAAAAAAUUAAUAUAUGAAUGUAUUAGUAUUCCUUUAUUUGUAUUACAAAUACAAUAAUAGUCAAACAAUAAUAUAUAACGGGACCAUAAUUUUUAAAAUCGAACAAUUACCAAUUAAUUAUGAAUGUAUAAUGUUAUUACAAAUUAAAGUAAGCAUCCGUGCGGACACACAUGGCAGUUGUGUUUUGUUAUUGAAUAUGAGAGUACAACACAACACCAAACACCAACACCAAAUUUGUCUGAUUAUUUUAACAAAAAGAGCAGUGAUGUUAGCAAUGACGUGAUUACCUUAUAAAAUAAUGGGAAAAAUAAUUCCUUUCUGGUUUGCUGUCCAGGAUAACUUAUUUUUUCUAUCUAGUUUGUUGUCCAAGGUAUCUUUCAUUUAUUUAUAUAGAGAACAUUAGUGAACGAAACAUAAAACUGAAAGAAAAAUAAACAGGAGUAGAACCAGAGGGAUCGAAGAAUGGCAGAGAAUGAGGGAAAAGUAAAGCUUCUAGGGUGUUGGGCAAGCCCUUUCAGUCGUAGGGUCGAGAUGGCUCUCAAACUCAAAGGCAUACCGUACGAAUACUUGGAGGAAGCCUUGCCCAACAAGAGCCCUUUGCUUCUUGAGCUUAACCCGAUUCACAAGAAGGUUCCGGUUCUUGUACACAACGAUAAAAUAUUACCCGAGUCACAUCUAAUCCUCGAGUACAUCGACCAAACAUGGAGUAACAAUCCAAUUCUACCUCAAGAUCCCUACGAGAAAGCCAUGGCUCGAUUCUGGGCCAAAUUCAUCGACGAGCAGGUAUAUCCAACAAAACAUGCUAAUUAUAAAUAUUUCUUUUUUUUUUUGGAUCAAAGCUAAUUCAUAAAUCUUUUUUCUUAUAUAUUGAUCUUGCAGAUUCUUACUGUAGGAUUCAGGUCUCUAGUAAGAGCAGAGAAGGGGAGAGAGGCUGCUAUUGAAGAGGCUCGAGAAAAGUUUGCGUUUCUUGAGAAGGAAGUCACUAGAAAAAUCAGUAUAUCUCUCUACACAGGUAACCAAAAUAUUUCAGUUCGAGUUUGAAUGUUUGACAUUUUGUGUUUUGACUUUUGUGGUUUUUCAAUUACAAAAUUUUGGAUUUGCCUCGUUCGAGUUUGAUGCAAUUUUUUUCCCAAUUCUAAUUAUUAAUGUAGAUCAUAGAUUUGUGUAAAGUUUCCCAUCCCUAUGCUUGCCAUAUGAUAUACAUAGAAACACCAAAUGAUGAUUGUUUGGAUGUAACAAGUGUAAUCAAUUUUCGAUCAAGUCUCCAAACACCGUUGGAUUGGAGCUGCUAGUUAGAUCAAAUCGUAAUCUGAGAACUAAGACAGGGCCCAUUUCAGAGGCUAUCAAAUCUAGCCCACGAAAUACCUGAUAUUUUUGUUUUGGGGUCUUCUAGAUGCUUGUAAGCUGGAGAGAAUCAGUGGGAGUGGAGAACAAUUCGAGAAGCUCCAGAUAUUUCGUUUCGUUCCUAUAAAUAGAUUCCUCGAUACUCUCUGUUCUUUCAAGAGUGAGAAUCAAAUUCAAGAAAAACCAACAACCUUUGAAGAAAACAAAAUUCAACUGAAAAUGUCGAUGAUUCCGAGCUUCUUUGGAAACAACAGGCGUGGCAGCAGCAGCUUCUUCGAUCCGUUUUCUCUAGAUGUUUGGGACCCGUUCAAGGACUUUUCAUCAUCUUCUUCGUUUUCCC